CGGUAACACGUAGGAUCCAAGCGUUAUCCGGAUUUACUGGGCGUAAAGCGCGUGCAGGUGGUUUGGUAAGUUGGAUGUUAAAUCUCCCGGCUCAACUGGGAGCUGUCGUUCAAAACUGCCAAGCUAGAGGACGGUAGAGGGAGGUGGAAUUCAGGGUGUAGUGGUGAAAUGCGUAGAUAUCCUGAGGAACACCAGUGGCGAAGGCGGCCUCCUGGCCCGCUCCUGACACUAAGACGCGAAAGCUAGGGUAGCGAACGGGAUUAGACACCCCGGUAGUCCUAGCCGUAAACGAUGUGAACUUGGUGUUGGUGGGGUAAAACCCAUCAGUGCCGUAGCAAACGCGAUAAGUUCACCGCCUGGGGACUACGGUCGCAAGAUUAAAACUCAAAGGAAUUGACGGGGGCCCGCACAAGCAGCGGAGCGUGUGGUUUAAUUCGAUGCUACGCGAAGAACCUUACCUGGGUUUGACAUAUAGGUGGUAGUGAACCGAAAGGGGAACGACUCCUCGGAGAGCCUAUACAGGUGUCGCAUGGCUGUCGUCAGCUCGUGCCGUGAGGUGUCCGGUUAAGUCCGGUAACGAGCGCAACCCUUGCUGUAUGUUACACGUAUCAUACGGGACUGCCGGUAUAAAGCCGGAGGAAGGUGGGGACGACGUCAAGUCAGCAUGACCUUUAUAUCCAGGGCUACACACACGCUACAAUGGUCAGUACAACAGGUUGCAAUACCGCGAGGUGGAGCCAAUCCCUAACACUGAUCUCAGUUCGGAUUGCAGGCUGCAACUCGCCUGCAUGAAGUCGGAGUUGCUAGUAACCGCGCGUCAGCAAUAGUGCGGUGAAUACGUUCCCGGG
rnacentral:rRNA from 1 species